rnacentral:rRNA from 1 species
AUGAAAUUAAAUCUUUAUGUACUGACUCCUAAGCGAAUUAUUUGGGAUUGUGAAGUGAAAGAAAUCAUUUUAUCCACUAAUAGUGGCCAAAUUGGCGUAUUACCAAACCACGCCCCCAUUAACACAGCAGUAGAUAUGGGUCCUUUGAGAAUACGCCUCCUCAACGACCAAUGGUUAACAGCGGUUUUGUGGAGCGGUUUUGCGAGAAUAGUUAAUAAUGAGAUCAUCAUUUUAGGAAAUGAUGCGGAACUGGGUAGUGAUAUUGAUCCGGAAGAAGCUCAAAAGGCACUUGAAAUAGCCGAAGCUAACUUGAGUAAAGCUGAGGGUACGAAAGAUUUGGUUGAAGCAAAGCUCGCUCUCAGACGAGCUAGGAUACGAAUCGAGGCUGUCAAUUGGAUUCCCCCAUCCAAUUGA